rnacentral:ncRNA from 1 species
CCGAGCCGUAUGACGGGAGACUGUCACGUACGGAUCUGUGAGGCCGGAGGGAGAGACUCCCUCCGGCUACUCGGC